AUGAAGCCUGGGGCCAAGGCGGGAGUUGCAGCCUGGGGUUCGCCAUGGGACCCAGGGGCCUGGUGGGAGUUGCCACCCAGGGUCUGUCAUGGGGCACGGUGGCCCAGAGGCAGUCAUUGCCUUGGGUCUGCUGCAGGGCAGGGGGCCUGGCGGGAGUCGUUGCCCAGUGUCUGCCACGGGGUUCAGAGUCCCGGUGGGAGUCACCUCCAGGGGUCCACCUCGGGCCCCGGAGACCCAGCGGGAGUCACCUCCCGGGGUCCACCUCGGGCCCCGGAGUCCCGGCGGGAGUCGCCGCCCGGGGUCCGCAGCAGGGUACAGGGGCCCGGUGGGAGUCGCCACCCGGGGGAUGCCGUGGGGCCCAGAGUCCACCAGGAGAUGCCGCCCGGGGUCCGCUGCAGGGCCUUCCGGGGGUCCGGCAAGAGUUGCCGCCUGGGGUCCGCCGCAGGGCCUGGGGGCCCAGAGGGAGAUGCCACCUGUGGUCCACCACAGAGCCCAGUGGCCCGGUGGGAGUUGCUGCCCGGGAUCUGCCACGUGGCCUGGUGGCUCGGCAGGAGUCAGCGCCCGGGGUCUGCUGCAGGGCCCAGGGGCCCGGCGGGAUUCGGCGCCAGGGUCCGCCACGGGGUCUGGGGGCCUGGCAGGAGUCGCCACCCGGAGUACGCCACAGGGUUGGGGGAACAGCGGGAGUCGGCACCCUGGGUGCGCCGAGGGGAUCAGGGGCCCGGCGGCAGUCUGCGCACGGGGUUGGCUGUGGGGCCUGGAGGCCUGGCGGGAGUCAGAGGCUGGGGUCUGCCACGGGGCCCGGGAUCCCGGCGGGAGUCAGCGCCUGGGGUCUGCCACGGGUCCUGGGGGCCAAGCAAGACUCUCCCCCCAGGGUCCGGUGCACAGCCCAGUGGCCCGGUGGGAGUCACUGCCCGGGCUCCGCCAUGGGGCCCGGGGGCCUGGCAUAAGUCGCCGCCGGGGUCUGCUGCAGAGCCCGGGGGGCCUGUGGGAGUCGGCACCCAGGGACAGCCACGGGGCCUCGGGCCCCAGUGGGAGUUGCCACCCAGGGACCGUCAUGGAGCCCAGAGGUGUGGUAGGAGUCAGUUCCGAGGGUCCGCUGCGGGCUCCUGGGACUCAGCGGGAGUUGCCACCCAGGGGCCGCCGUGGGGCCCGGGGGACCGGCGGGAGUCGCUGCCCAUGGUCAGCAGCGGGGCCCAAGGGCCCAGCAGGAGUUGCAGCCCGGGGUCUGCCUCGAGGCCUGGGGGCUCGGCGGGAGUCGCCGCCUGGGGUCCGCCGCAGGGCCCGGCGGCCCGGUAG
rnacentral:lncRNA from 1 species